UACGUAGGGACCGAGCGUUGUCCGGAAUCAUUGGGCGUAAAGAGCGUGUAGGCGGCCAUGUAGGUCCGGUGUGAAAACUCGAGGCUUAACCUCGAGAUGUCAUCGGAAACCAUUUGGCUAGAGUCCGGAAGAGGAGAGUGGAAUUCCUGGUGUAGCGGUGAAAUGCGCAGAUAUCAGGAAGAACACCAAUGGCGAAAGCAGCUCUCUGGGACGGUACUGACGCUGAGACGCGAAAGCGUGGGGAGCGAACAGG
rnacentral:rRNA from 1 species